UACAGAGGUGGCAAGCGUUGUUCGGAAUUACUGGGCGUAAAGGGCGCGUAGGCGGCCUACUAAGUCAGACGUGAAAUCCCCAGGCUUAACUUGGGAACUGCGUCUGAUACUGGAAGGCUUGAGUGCGGGAGAGGGAUGUGGAAUUCCAGGUGUAGCGGUGAAAUGCGUAGAUAUUCGCAAGAACACCAGUGGCGAAGGCGGCUCACUGGCCCGAUACUGACGCUGAGGCACGAAAGCGUGGGGAGCAAACAGG
rnacentral:rRNA from 1 species